CCGGUUUGUUUUGUUCAGUUUUGGCUUUUAUGAGUCAGAAUCUGAAAAGUGUGGAGUGCAUUAGUGUUCAGUCCUGUGUGGCAACGUGCUAGUAGCUCCCGUGGCUGCAGGCUGAGUAAAGGCACGCCACACUUUUCAGAUCAGCUCCUGUUUCUGCUCCAUUGGAGUUAAAAACCCGAUGAAACCGUCUGGAAGUCUGAGCGGGUCGGACGCUGGAAAAGUUCUGGUUCUGAUCUAAACCCGCUGAAACACUUCCUCUGCAGCUUGGUCCGGAUCCAUGGUUCUGGUUCUGGUUCUAUUCUGCAUCAAACUUCUAGAAAACUGAUAAACAGCUGAAACCCCGAGUUACUUUAGAUCCAGACUGAAACCAGUUUGAAGCAUCGAUUCAGAACCAAAUGUUUCGAUUAUUGAUUCUGUUUCUGACUUUGUUUUAAUAAUGUAAAGAGAUUAACAUUUGAUUGAUUGAUUGAUUGAUUGAUUGAUUGAUUGAUUCUGCUCUGUCUCCUCAAACCUCCAGUGGGUCGGAUCAGAUGGCUGCUGGUACUGAACCAGGCUCUGGUUCUGGUUCUGCUGCAGGUUUCUUCCUGUUAAAAUGAAGCUUUUCCUCUCCACUGUCGCCCCCUGCUGGUCAGGAAGAGUGUGGGACAAUGACUUGAUGCUUUGUUUAGAGUUCCCUCAGGUGUCUGCAGCCAGUUUACCAGGGUGAUGAUGAUGAUGAAGGUCCCUCUGUGAAGCAAGGCUGCCCCCUGCUGGCCGAGCUGAGAACUUAGAGCGCGAAAAUACAAAUAAAACACCGGAUUAAAUUUAAACUCAUAUUCCUGCUGUUAUUAGAGUCCAUAUGAAGAAGGUCGUUGUUAGAGAACCUGCUGCUGUUCUGAUGGAUCGGCGUUGCCAUGGCUACGAGCCUGCGCUUGGACUCACCUGGACCUCCGUUCAGGCCGGGCGCCCCGCUGGCUGCUGGCUGUGUUGCCUUCAGGCGCUGAAGAUGAGGAAGAGGAGGAGCAGCGCGGGCAGGAAGUGGCGGCUGCAGCGCGACGCGCCGUUCAG